CAAAUACUCCCUCCGUCCGGAAAUACUUGUCAUUAAAAUGGAUAAAAGGAAAUGUAUCUAGACAUAUUUUAGUUUUAGAUACAUCUCUUUUUAUCCAUUUUGAUGACAAGUAUUUUCGGACGGAGGGAAUAGAAA
rnacentral:pre_miRNA from 1 species